rnacentral:misc_RNA from 1 species
GUAAAGCCACCCUUUAUAACUAGGCUUUUUGCACAAGUCACAUUCGAAAUCAUAAGGAGGACAGAAUUCCAAGUCCAGUUUAUGGCAAUGAGAUGACAUUUCAAUCGAAAGAGGUAAUGCUAAUAAACAUAGUGUGUGAUAAUAAGUAGAGCAGUUGGCACACGCGUAAGAAAAUCCCAAGAUUUCUUUUCUACACGCGUUGCAUUUUGAUGAAGAAG